AUGCCCGGUGCCUUCCGGCCCGUCUCCCUUCAAAACGGGGACGUCAAGAUCCUGUGCCGCGGGCUCACCUCGAGGCUGCAGCAGCAGAUCAGGGGCAUCAUCGACGUCGACCAGUCCGGGUUCCUGGCGGGGAGAAGCAUCUCUGAAAAUUUCGUGUACGCCGCCGAGGUGAUCCAGUGCUGCCACCGGCACAGCGCCCCCGCCCUUGUCUUCAAGCUCGACUUCACCAAGGCGUUCGACUCGGUCGAUUGGGGGGCGCUCCGGCGCAUUCUCGAGGUGCGCGGCUUCCCCGCCAGAUGGUGCGCUUGGAUGGACUUGAUCUUUCGGUCCUCCCGGUCGGCGGUUCUCCUUAACGGUGUACCGGGGAAGUGGUUUAUGGUGCGCCGCGGGCUGCGCCAGGGGGACCCGAGCUUGCCCUACCUCUUCCUCAUCGUCGCCGACGUCCUGCAACAGAUGAUC
rnacentral:rRNA from 1 species